GACGAACGCUGGCGGCGUGCUUAACACAUGCAAGUCGAACGGAAAGGCCCUGCUUUUGUGGGGUGCUCGAGUGGCGAACGGGUGAGUAACACGUGAGUAACCUGCCCUUGACUUUGGGAUAACUUCAUGAAACUGGGGCUAAUACCGGAUAGGAGCUCCUGCUGCAUGGUGGGGGUUGGAAAGUUUCGGCGGUUGGGGAUGGACUCGCGGCUUAUCAGCUUGUUGGUGGGGUAGUGGCUUACCAAGGCUUUGACGGGUAGCCGGCCUGAGAGGGUGACCGGCCACAUUGGGACUGAGAUACGGCCCAGACUCCUACGGGAGGCAGCAGUGGGGAAUAUUGCACAAUGGGCGGAAGCCUGAUGCAGCAACGCAGCGUGCGGGAUGACGGCCUUCGGGUUGUAAACCGCUUUCGCCUGUGACGAAGCGUGAGUGACGGUAAUGGGUAAAGAAGCACCGGCUAACUACGUG
rnacentral:rRNA from 1 species